AUGGAACCAAGUUCGGUACCGGUUGAAGAAAGUAUAAAAUCUCCCUCCUCAAAUGGUGUUUUACAAGCACAUCUGUCUAUUGUCGGAUGCGCGAAAGGGAUGGUUCCAAUUCUACGUAAUAAUAGAAUGGGACAUAUAGCAUCAUAUAUUACCGAGCAAGUGAUUAACAAGGAUGAACAACUAGAGAUGGCAGGAAUUAGAUAUUCAGAUGAUUUGUAUGGGGUACGAGCUACAAUAAAUGUGUAUGAGACAAAGGUGAAGAAAGAUAGCAAGGAUAUUAGUCAAUCAAUACUAAUUGAUAAUGGACCAAAGGGUCACGAAGAAGGUGUAGGUGCUUGUUAUUCGGUAGCUCCAAGCAUCACUGGUGAUAGCUUUGCGAGGUUUCAUGUUGUUUGGCGCGAUGGCAAACUACACAAGCCCUGCUACGAUCACGUAUGUCCUGGUUUUGUGCAAGUUAGUCACCGUGUUGGUCUUGGAGGAAGAGUACUUCCGGUUUCAGUCUACAAUGGACCACAAUAUGUGAUAGACAUUUACAUUUUCAAGGACCCCAAAACGGCGAAUUGGUGGCUGAUGUAUGGUGAAGAAAAGACACCGAUUGGAUAUUGGCCAAGUUCACUCUUCUCUCACAUUAAAGAUAAAGGAAUUUUCUCAUACUGGUGUGGUUUUGUUCAGGGCCCAACAGCUUCAUCAGACUCCCCACAAAUAGGUAGUGGGCAUUUUGCCGCUGAAGGGUAUGGAAAAGCAGCUUUUAUGAGAAACAUCCAGAUUGCUGACAUCAACAACAAGCUUGUCACUCCAAAUAGACACAAAGACCUUCUUGGAACUAGUGAUAAAAUGAAAUAUAGUAUUGAUGGUUAUGUAGUUGAUAAUCAUGGUAUGCAUAUGUACUAUGGUGGACCAGGUAAUUUAGUCUGA
rnacentral:rRNA from 1 species